AUUCAGGGAUGGGAAAUCGAACCACAGUGUUCCGUUUACCAGGCAGAUGCCAUGUCCACUAGGCUACCCUGGA
rnacentral:tRNA from 1 species